rnacentral:rRNA from 1 species
AUUGAACGCUGGCGGCAUGCUUUACACAUGCAAGUCGAACGGCAGCACGGGUGCUUGCACCUGGUGGCGAGUGGCGAACGGGUGAGUAAUGCACCGGAACGUAUCCAAUAAUGGGGGAUAACGCACCGAAAGGUGUGCUAAUACCGCAUACGCCCUGAGGGGGAAAGCGGGGGACCGAAAGGCCUCGCGUUACUGGAGCGGCCGAUGCCGGAUUAGCUAGUUGGUGAGGUAAAGGCUCACCAAGGCGACGAUCCGUAGCCGGUCUGAGAGGACGACCAGCCACACUGGGACUGAGACACGGCCCAGACUCCUACGGGAGGCAGCAGUGGGGAAUUUUGGACAAUGGGCGCAAGCCUGAUCCAGCCAUGCCGCGUGAGUGAAGAAGGCCUUCGGGUUGUAAAGCUCUUUCGCAAGGAAAGAAAACUCAUCUCCUAAUACGAGGUGAGGAUGACGGUACCUUGAUAAGAAGCACCGGCUAACUACGUGCCAGCCGCCGCCGUAA